AUGACAAUGCCAGAAUCACAAUGUACUGUUGGCCCUCGUGGCAUCCCACUCCCCUGGCUUCAUGAUAACUUUCUUAAUAUUUCUAGCUUCGCUGAUUCUGAGACGAGGAAAAGACAUCUGUUUGCGUAUUUGUUGUGGCUCCUCAGGGUUAUGUUUCCAAAUUCACACGGGGACGUACUUCUCCCUGGUCUCAUCUACAUUGUGGAGAAGAUGGUAGAUGAACCUUUACCCAAGCAUCCAAAAUUCAGCUUCGGUUCUGCCAUUCUAUCUCAUACAUAUAGAGGCUUGUGUGAUGCCACACAAAAAACUUCCUUCGCAAAAAAGCUCCGUUACUUUGUCCCCUACGAGUUUCUACAGUUGUGGUCCUGGGAAUACCUCCCUGUAGGACGACCUCGUAUAAUAAAUCCUAUACACCCAUACGACUAUAGCGAGGGCAACUGUGUAACUAUGGCCAGCAGGUGGACAAGGGCACGGAAACAUUGGUCUCCAAGUAUUGCGAAGAAUUGUUACCCUAUAUACCACUGGCAGUUUGAGGCACUUGAUGAGUCUGUAGUCACAUGGAACCCAUGGACUCAGGAGCAUCCUUACAACCCAGAGCGUGUCAUGAGACAGUUUGGUCUGUAUCAGGAGAUUCCACCACCUUUUCCAAGAUGUACUGACGAGGAAACCCAUAAGCUAACCAAUAUGGGCCACGGUUGGAGUCUUUAUGAUUGGAGGGAGCGCAACAUUCAAUGGCUCCAAACUGCCCACGAUGUAGGGCAGAUGGCGACGGAAAGCAUGCCGCCCAAGGCUGUCAAGUCAUUCAAUAAACGUGUUAAAGAAUACAUGCUAACAAAGUUGAGAUGUGGUAGAGGCGACGACGUUGUCACUGGAGCGUACAACAUGUCAGUACCGAGGUCAGCCAGACCGAGUGCGGCGCCGUCGUCCAGACCGAGCAAGGCGUGUACAAGCCAUGGGCAGUGGGGGGAGGGUGAGGGAUCUCAGCCGUAUCUCUUCACGCGAGGGAUCUCCAUGCCCGAGGAGACUCGUGUCCCAGAUUUAAACCAGUACCAGGUAGAAUGUCCAGACAGUACAGGCAAGGGAUCUGAUCAGGUUCGCAACAAGGAUUACAGACUCCACCACCUAUGCAAGAGUCGAAGACACAGGAAGACCAACUGGAGUACGGUCGCGGUCUUCGUGUACCUCAACCACCUAAUCGCUUGGAGCUUUCCGGCCCGAAGGGAAGGCCAGGUGGCCGUCGUUGACUGCAAUGAUUCAUCUAUCCACGUGCGCGACCCAUUGUAUCUACAUAUGUCUGUAUCAGACUUUUCGAUUUGA
rnacentral:rRNA from 1 species